rnacentral:rRNA from 1 species
CCUACGGGAGGCAGCAGUAAGGAAUAUUGGUCAAUGGACGAAAGUCUGAACCAGCCAUGCCGCGUGAAGGAUGAAGGCCCUCUGGGUUGUAAACUUCUUUUAUAGGGGACGAAAAAAGGGCAUUCUUGCUCACUUGACGGUACCCUAGGAAUAAGCACCGGCUAACUCCGUGCCAGCAGCCGCGGUAAUACGGAGGGUGCAAGCGUUAUCCGGAUUUACUGGGUUUAAAGGGUGCGUAGGUGGGUUGGUAAGUCAGCGGUGAAAUCUUCGAGCUUAACUCGGAAACUGCCAUUGAUACUAUCAAUCUUGAAUCAUCUAGAGGUAAGCGGAAUAUGUCAUGUAGCGGUGAAAUGCUUAGAUAUGACAUAGAACACCAAUUGCGAAGGCAGCUUACUAUGGAUGUAUUGACACUGAGGCACGAAAGCGUGGGGAUCAAACAGGAUUAGAUACCCUGGUAGUCCACGCCCUAAACUAUGGAUACUCGACAUUUGCGAUAUACCUGUAAGUGUUNUGAGAGAAGANAUAAGUAUACCACCUAGAGUACGAGCGCGAAGAGUAGUAAACGUUAAAGUAGUAAGUUAGUAGGCGUAGAGACGUAGACCGACGGACGACGACGAGGGGAGGAGG